UACGAGAGGCCCAAACGUUAUUCGGAAUUACUGGGCUUAAAGAGUUCGUAGGCGGCGCAGAAAGUAGGGUGUGAAAGCCCUCGGCUCAACCGAGGAAUUGCGCUCUAAACUACUGUGCUUGAGGAAGCUAGAGGUGAGCAGAACUGAUGGUGGAGCGGUGAAAUGCGUUGAUAUCAUCAGGAACACCGGAGGCGAAGGCGGCUCACUGGGGGUCUUCUGACGCUGAGGAACGAAAGCCAGGGGAGCGAACGGG
rnacentral:rRNA from 1 species